GUGCUUGCUUUGGCAGCACAUAUUUCUAAAAUUGGAAUGAUACAGAGAAGAUUAGCAUGGCCCCUGCACAAGGAUAAAAUUGGGGAAAGUAAUGCCUCCCAUAUUCUU